ACCUGUGUAACCGUCGUUUCACCGCGCGCAAAAUAUCGUCCGUUUAUUCGUGUUUAAUUGUGUUUCAAGUCAUUAAUAAACAUUAAAAUAACUGAAAACUGUUCUAUAGUGACAUUAUACCUUUGUGGGAAGUGAUUUCACCUGGUGGUUUAGUGUAUUUCGCUUUUUAUAACAUUAAAACAUUCACGUGUAACAUGCGCAGGUUAUAGUCAAUACAACAAUAAAAACAACAAGAUUUACAGACUUGAUUUCCACAUCUAGAUGCCGCUGGUUGACACAAUGACAUCACCAGGACUUCACUACCGAAAGGACUGAUGGCUGGCUGUUAACCUUUUCCGAUCGCAAUAGGAACACAAUUAUUGCUUGUCAGCGCUGCGCUGGAAAUCUGCAACGACACGUUUGGAUGGUGAUGGCAAAGGAGACUUCAUCGACAUUAUUUGUGCACUAUUCUGGUGAAAAGUGAAUGCGGGACUUGAUGUUGCCAAUCGUCGUUGUAGGAUGUGGAGUUUCAACGUAGGCAACCAGUCUUGCUUGCCUUAUGGUACGGAAAGGAGUCGACGAGCAUUUUGGGUUCUAGGAGUGGUACGAUCCUUCGUAGGAGUGCAAUUUUUCGAAAAUUAUCUGUAAUUAAUGUAAAACUGAAAUAAUAUAAUUUUGGAAUGUACUUUCUUUGUUUUGAGUCAAUAAAGCACUUUAGAGCUCAA